GUGCUUGUUCCACUGGGAUGUUUCUUGGUGGAAGUUACAGCUCCCACCAGAGCCCAAUAAUGAUUCAGACAUUGUUUCCCAACAGGUGAAUGUAUGUCGGCAUAGAUAUGUACAAAAACCAUAGCUGUUGCUCGAAGCAGGUGAUUCUAAGGUCCUCCCGGAAGCCAGUGUGAAUUUCAAUUGGAAAAGGUGUGUCUGGUGCCAUUACCUAUCUGCAGUACCAGAGAGGAUCACCUAGAAGCCACCAGGAACCUCACUUUAGCCAUCUUCUAGGCUGGUGCUUACAACUGAUAAAGGAAGAAAAAUGACUUCUUCUCUUCUGCCUGCAUAAUAUUAUGCAAAUCCUCUCACUGGCAGAACUUCUACAAAAAUCCCAUCGGUGCUAGGCCUAAAAUGAGGUGAAGAUAUCAGGGAAGAGAAUUCAUGAAAGUGACGUGCAUACUUAAGACCAGAAAAUAUUUGCCUUGAGAAAAUUGUCACAAGAAUUCUCCAUCUAUGCCAUGUUUAGCAGUGUCCGCUCAUUUUAUUUGUGCUUUAUUACAUGAAACUAGUGCGCAGUUGCAGCAUGCGGGAGUGACAGGGAGUUCAUGAAGCAAGCAUAAGAUCAAAGGACAUUUUAGCCAUAAAUCAGAAUCUAUAGAAGAAUCUUUCACCACAAAAUAAUAUUUAAGCUUUUGUUGAUAUAUUCAUAUUUUUUAAUUAUGUUAAUAUUUUAUUAUAUUUCAACUUAUUAAAGUAAAGGAGGA
rnacentral:lncRNA from 1 species